GGGCCCGCACAAGCGGAGGAACAUGUGGUUUAAUUCGAUGAUACGCGAGGAACCUUACCCGGGCUUGAAAUGCAGAAGACGGACUUGGAAACAGGUCUUCCAGCAAUGGCUUCUGUGUAGGUGCUGCAUGGUUGUCGUCAGCUCGUGCCGUGAGGUGUCGGCUUAAGUGCCAUAACGAGCGCAACCCUUGCCAUUAGUUACUAACAGGUUAUGCUGAGGACUCUAGUGGGACUGCCACCGCAAGGUGUGAGGAAGGUGGGGAUGACGUCAAAUCAGCACGGCCCUUACGUCCGGGGCGACACACGUGUUACAAUGGGGGGGACAGAAAGUUGCUAAGCGGCGACGCAGCGCUAAUCUCCAAACCCUCUCUCAGUUCGGAUCGGAGUCUGCAACUCGACUCCGUGAAGCUGGAUUCGCUAGUAAUCGCGCAUCAGCCAUGGCGCGGUGAAUACGUUCCCGGGCCUU
rnacentral:rRNA from 1 species